GGCCAACUAAACUCUGCGUUGGAACUAAGAAUGCAAUUUCAGCAUUUCACCAAGGAUCUCAAAUGAAAUGAGAAAAUAAAUUUUAAUCUCUUAAUUCCCAUAAAAUUAGGACUAACAUUGCAGAAUGAGGACUGUUCUGGAUCCUUCCUAACUCUGGCAUAUGUUAGACACUACACUUAAGGGCGUACUUAACCGCAGAGAGCAGCAGUUACAGAACUGCAGUGCAGAAGUGCAGAGAGCAGCAGUUAGAAGGACAAUAAAUUACAACCAAUGUUUAAGGAUGUUGCUUUUUAGAGCAGUCAAAAUAACUGCUGUGGAAGAGACAGAACAUAUAUGAAUAUUUAUGAACUCCCUACCUUUCCCAGUCUUGAAUGUGACUAAUUCUGAUCAAUGAAGUGCAUGUGAAAAUUUGGGCCCUCGCUUCUAGGUCCAGGCUCAAUGUGCUCCGUGUCUUCCCCAGGCUCCCUCUCUACCGCCCCCCUCCAGUGACGUGUUGGGAAGAAAAUAAUUUCAAGUUGGUGAGAGAAGCAGAGGCCCAAAGGAAUAUUGCAAAUACCCAAGGUCACCCUGUCAGGAGUGGCAGAAUAGGGCUGGAACAAGGACUCUUUUCUCUGGACAGCUUGCACCUACAAUCCUUUCCAUCUUGCACCUACAAUCCACUCGAACACUGCAGCAUGGAGGCAGACUCCUUGCCAACGGGUAUUGUCGAGAGCUUCUUCCUACCAUCAUUUGUGAGUUUCAUCAGCUCCCAACCCUUUGUGUCUCAGCUUCUAAACUUUCUUUCUUUGACCAGAACUCAGCCAUAGUAGAACUGGAUUUAUGGAUGGAAUUAGAGAUAUGUCUUAUCUGAUGUGACAACUCCAAAGAAUCGGUAGUGCUUUAGAGACAUCAGAAGGCUCUACAGAACUCAACAAGAGUACCAUGUAAAAUUCAUGAUGUCUGGAUGUGUGAGGGAUAGGGAGGCAUUGCUAUUUUUGACUUUGAUCUAUCCUUUAGGCCCAGAAAAUCUUAUAUUUGUAGACAGAGGGGAUCCAGGCACUGGAGAGUUG
rnacentral:lncRNA from 1 species